rnacentral:rRNA from 1 species
UACGGAGGGGGCUAGCGUUGUUCGGAAUUACUGGGCGUAAAGCGCGCGUAGGCGGACCUGCAAGUCGGGGGUGAAAGCCCGAGGCUUAACCUCGGAACUGCCUUCGAUACUGCGGGUCUCGAGUCCGGGAGAGGUGAGUGGAAUUCCUAGUGUAGAGGUGAAAUUCGUAGAUAUUAGGAAGAACACCAGUGGCGAGGGCGGCUCACUGGCCCGUUACUGACGCUGAGGCGCGAAAGCGUGGGGAGCAAACAGG